AGGCAGGAGCAUGUGGAACAUUAGUAAACUCUGUUCUGGGCUUUGCUACAACAGGCAACAUCUUAUAAAAGUUGCUGGCAUCAUGGGUUUAUCCACCUUCCCUAUGCAAAUGGUGCAUAUUAAAUGGGUAUGCAUCAGACCAUCAUUUCACUUAUUUCUUCUUUUAAGGAAUAAAAAUUGGACUUUAAUUUUCAUUUUUCA
rnacentral:lncRNA from 1 species